GCGUCAAAUAACAAUAAUCAUGCAGAGCCACGACAGCGACUGCAGGCAUUUUCAUAGUAUUCCAAUACGUGGCAGCUUAAACGGCACAUUUUUUUUGAAAAUGACAUGAAAAAGACACGUGAAGUUAUAAUGAACACGCAUGGUAAGACAUUAUAAUAACAUAGUUGGGUACACAUAGGCUUAUAGUAAUGUACGUGGGUUACAUGUUGAGGAACAGUAGAGUAAUUGAGCUUUUAGUGCUUGAUAGAGACAUAAGCUUAAAACAGAAAAGCAGUGUCAACAGUAAAGAUUGUGCUUCAAUGCUUGAGAUGCUUAAUAAUGCUUAAAACAAAAUGAAAUGACCACCCCAUGUUAACCCCGUGUCAGCCUGGUGAGAGUCCAUGUCAGCCUUCAUGAUGACCCCUUAGUGUGCAGUGCAAUGUGAUGUAGCGUGGUAAAAUGCUUAAUGGCUGCCUUUGCGCUUAAAGUCCCGUUGGC